rnacentral:misc_RNA from 1 species
ACAAAUCCACGUCUGUGUGUCCCUGUGGGGCGCACUGAGUCCGGCGGGAGGGCGGGCAGCUGCCCUCUUGUCGCAGUAAUAUACUAUUAUUUCAUUAUAUAUUACGUAUGUCCACAUUAUUAUAAGUGUGUAGUUGACUAAUUGCGGGAACAAUGUGAUAGA